rnacentral:rRNA from 2 species
AUAACGACUCUCGGCAACGGAUAUCUCGGCUCUCGCAUCGAUGAAGAACGUAGCGAAAUGCGAUACUUGGUGUGAAUUGCAGAAUCCCGCGAACCAUCGAGUCUUUGAACGCAAGUUGCGCCCGAGGCCAUCAGGCUGAGGGCACGUCUGUUUGGGCGUCACGC